rnacentral:rRNA from 1 species
AUUGAACGCUGGCGGCAGGCCUAACACAUGCAAGUCGAACGAGUGGCGGACGGGUGAGCAAUUUCUGGGAAACUGCCUGAUAGAGGGGGAUAACUACUGGAAACGGUAGCUAAUACCGCAUACCAUCGGAUGUGCCCAGAUGGGCUUAGCCUGUUUGUGGGGUAACGGCUCACCACGGCGACGAUGCCUAGCUGGUCUGAGGGGAUGACCAGCCACACUGUAACUGAGACACGGUCCGGACUCCUACGGGAGGCCGCAGUGGGGAAUAUUGCGCAAUGGGCGCAAGCCUGAUGCAGCCAUGCCGCGUGUGUGAAGAAGGCCUUCGGGUUGUAAAGUACUUUCAGCGGGGAGGCGUUACCCGCAGAAGAAGCACCGGCUAACUCCGUGCCAGCAGCCGCGGUAAUUC